CAUGACACUCAGACGGACUAAGAAAAUAUAUCAUCUUUAUGUUCUGAGAAUAGCAGGAGGGGGAUUCAGAAACUACAUGUAGUCAAACCUGGUCACCCCUGAUCUAAUGAUUUAAAGUUACUUUUUAAAGACCCCAUCGAGGACACCACAUGGCCUUUAGUCGUGUCUUCUUAGGCUCGUGUUGGCUGGGCCAGUUCCCUGGCCUUCUAGUUGGUGAUGACUGUUCUCGAGUCUGCUCUCCCGGGACACGUCUGCUGCAGUGACUUUUAAGAAGAGAUUCCUCACCUUAACUCCAGUUUGGAACGUUGAGUGUUUAUGUUUCCCUGCUUCAUCUUCUCACCUUCUCCUCUGGUCCUUCCUCCUCAUUCCUUUCUCUUUCCCACUUACCAUACGUAGAGUUUAAACAUUGCAGGAGAGAGAAGCAAUGUCAUUUUCUUCUAUGGCCUUCGUAAAUGCAUUCCUUUGUAAAGGAGUCAAUACAGAAGUAGGAAAAUCCAACAUAAAUACAUUUUUCUUCCUUUUUCAUAUUGUGAACUCAAACUGUCCUCCUCGGAGAGC